UAUGACUUUUUUGUCACAUUUUGGACGACACACAAUAAAAAGUUUUUGACGUCUACAGGAAACUCUGUGGCUCUGACAUCGAGGACAGCAUUAAAGGGGAGACAAUCGGGAAUUUAGAGAACUUACUGCUUGCUGUUGCAAAAUGCGCCAGAAGUGUCCCAGAAUAUUUUGCUGAAAGCCUUUACAGAUCCAUGAGGCGCGCGGGGACUGACGACGACGCCCUGAUGAG